rnacentral:rRNA from 1 species
AUGCAGCAUACAACUUCAACAUUCCGAUCCUCUCCAGGCCCUCGUGGCAAGUGCUGUGUGCUGCUGGCAUGCAUUGUGUGGAGAGCAAAGGAGGGAAAAUGUGAUGGAGAUGGCUGGGUGUGGCUCGGGCUCGAUGUUCAGAUCCUCUCUGCAAUAAAGUAUUGGCGACGCAACCACCACCUUCCCGGUAUGGAAAAUUUUCUGGAUCACCACAUGGUCAAAGUCUGGAUUGAUUUAUGUAGUUUGACAUAUAAAUACACAGACGGUUGGCUUUCCUUUUUAUCAGGCCACGGGAUUUCUGUUCUUUGCCGUGUGGCUACUUUGGGCAUCUUGGGCCUCUAUGUGUCUUGGUACUUAUUACUGGUGAUCUACUUAUUAGUUGAUUGUUCAUUUUACAGCUCAUGGGAAUUGGGAAUGAUGCCGGUGCUUGUUUUGGAAUCAGUUUGA